CGUCCUUGUAGCUUAUAAAAAGCAUGACACUGAAGAUGCCAAGAUGGUACCUA
rnacentral:tRNA from 1 species